UAGAGUUUGAUCCUGGCUCAGAUAAGUCGUAACAAGGUAACCGUAGGUCGUAACAGGUAACCGUAGAGUUUGAUCCUGGCUCAGUUUGUGAAGCCUUACGUUAAGUCGUAACAAGGUAACCGUAGAGUUUGAUCUAGGCUCAGUAUAAGUCGUAACAAGGUAACCGUAAGUCGUAACAAGGUAACCGUAGGUCGUAACAGGGUACUGUAGAGUUUGAUCCUGGCUCAGUGACUGGGGUGAAGUCGUAACAAGGUAAUCGUAA
rnacentral:rRNA from 1 species